AGAUUGAACGCUGGCGGCAGGCCUAACACGUGCAAGUCGAGCGGUAGAGAGGUGCUUGCACCUCUUGAGAGCGGCGGACGGGUGAGUAAAGCCUAGGAAUCUGCCUGGUAGUGGGGGAUAACGCUCGGAAACGGACGCUAAUACCGCAUACGUCCUACGGGAGAAAGCAGGGGACCUUCGGGCCUUGCGCUAUCAGAUGAGCCUAGGUCGGAUUAGCUAGUUGGUGAGGUAAUGGCUCACCAAGGCGACGAUCCGUAACUGGUCUGAGAGGAUGAUCAGUCACACUGGAACUGAGACACGGUCCAGACUCCUACGGGAGGCAGCAGUGGGGAAUAUUGGACAAUGGGCGAAAGCCUGAUCCAGCCAUGCCGCGUGUGUGAAGAAGGUCUUCGGAUUGUAAAGCACUUUAAGUUGGAGAAGGCAUUAACCUAAUACGUUAGUGUUUUGACGUUACGACAGAAUAAGCACCGGCUAACUCUGUGCCAG
rnacentral:rRNA from 1 species